GCAGCCGCCGCGGUAAUGCGUAGGUGGCAAGCGUUGCCCGGAAUUAUUGGGCGUAAAGGGCUCGCAGGCGGUUUCUUAAGUCUGAUGUGAAAGCCCCCGGCUCAACCGGGGAGGGUCAUUGGAAACUGGGAAACUUGAGUGCAGAAGAGGAGAGUGGAAUUCCACGUGUAGCGGUGAAAUGCGUAGAGAUGUGGAGGAACACCAGUGGCGAAGGCGACUCUCUGGUCUGUAACUGACGCUGAGGAGCGAAAGCGUGGGGAGUGAACAGGAUUAGAUACCCGCGUAGUCCCUGUCUCUUAUAC
rnacentral:rRNA from 1 species